rnacentral:rRNA from 1 species
UGGGGAAUAUUGCAUAAUGGGGGAAACCCUGAUGCAGCGACGCCGCGUGAGGGAAGAAGGUUUUCGGAUUGUAAACCUCUGUCCUUGGUGACGAUAAUGACGGUAGCCAAGGAGGAAGCCACGGCUAACUACGUGCCAGCAGCCGCGGUAAUACGUAGGUGGCAAGCGUUGUCCGGAAUUACUGGGUGUAAAGGGAGCGUAGGCGGGAAAGCAAGUUGAAUGUUUAAACUAUCGGCUCAACUGAUAAUCGCGUUCAAAACUGUUUUUCUUGAGUGAAGUAGAGGUAGGCGGAAUUCCUAGUGUAGCGGUGAAAUGCGUAGAUAUUAGGAGGAACACCAGUGGCGAAGGCGGCCUACUGGGCUUUAACUGACGCUGAGGCUCGAAAGCGUGGGUAGCAAACAGG